rnacentral:rRNA from 1 species
AGAGUUUGAUCCUGGCUCAGGAUGAACGCUAGCUACAGGCUUAACUCAUGCAAGUCGAGGGGCAGCAUGGUCUUAGCUUGCUAAGGCCGAUGGCGACCGGCGCACGGGUGAGUAACACGUAUCCAACCUGCCGUCUACUCUUGGACAGCCUUCUGAAAGGAAGAUUAAUACAAGAUGGCAUCAUGAGUCCGCAUGUUCACAUGAUUAAAGGUAUUCCGGUAGACGAUGGGGAUGCGUUCCAUUAGAUAGUAGGCGGGGUAACGGCCCACCUAGUCUUCGAUGGAUAGGGGUUCUGAGAGGAAGGUCCCCCACAUUGGAACUGAGACACGGUCCAAACUCCUACGGGAGGCAGCAGUGAGGAAUAUUGGUCAAUGGGCGAGAGCCUGAACCAGCCAAGUAGCGUGAAGGAUGACUGCCCUAUGGGUUGUAAACUUCUUUUAUAAAGGAAUAAAGUCGGGUAUGCAUACCCGUUUGCAUGUACUUUAUGAAUAAGGAUCGGCUAACUCCGUGCCAGCAGCCGCGGUAAUACGGAGGAUCCGAGCGUUAUCCGGAUUUAUUGGGUUUAAAGGGAGCGUAGAUGGAUGUUUAAGUCAGUUGUGAAAGUUUGCGGCUCAACCGUAAAAUUGCAGUUGAUACUGGAUAUCUUGAGUGCAGUUGAGGCAGGCGGAAUUCGUGGUGUAGCGGUGAAAUGCUUAGAUAUCACGAAGAACUCCGAUUGCGAAGGCAGCCUGCUAAGCUGCAACUGACAUUGAGGCUCGAAAGUGUGGGUAUCAAACAGGAUUAGAUACCCUGGUAGUCCACACGGUAAACGAUGAAUACUCGCUGUUUGCGAUAUACAGCAAGCGGCCAAGCGAAAGCGUUAAGUAUUCCACCUGGGGAGUACGCCGGCAACGGUGAAACUCAAAGGAAUUGACGGGGGCCCGCACAAGCGGAGGAACAUGUGGUUUAAUUCGAUGAUACGCGAGGAACCUUACCCGGGCUUAAAUUGCAGAUGAAUUACGGUGAAAGCCGUAAGCCGCAAGGCAUCUGUGAAGGUGCUGCAUGGUUGUCGUCAGCUCGUGCCGUGAGGUGUCGGCUUAAGUGCCAUAACGAGCGCAACCCUUGUUGUCAGUUACUAACAGGUUCUGCUGAGGACUCUGACAAGACUGCCAUCGUAAGAUGUGAGGAAGGUGGGGAUGACGUCAAAUCAGCACGGCCCUUACGUCCGGGGCUACACACGUGUUACAAUGGGGGGUACAGAGGGCCGCUACCACGCGAGUGGAUGCCAAUCCCCAAAACCUCUCUCAGUUCGGACUGGAGUCUGCAACCCGACUCCACGAAGCUGGAUUCGCUAGUAAUCGCGCAUCAGCCACGGCGCGGUGAAUACGUUCCCGGGCCUUGUACACACCGCCCGUCAAGCCAUGGGAGCCGGGGGUACCUGAAGUGCGUAACCGCGAGGAGCGCCCUAGGGUAAAACUGGUGACUGGGUCUAAGUCGAAACAAGGUA